GUGUCCUGAACAGACACGGGCAAGAU
rnacentral:piRNA from 1 species